GAUAUACUCCCUCCAUCCCAAAUUAUUUGUCGCAGAAAUGGAUGUAUCUAGACAUAUUUUUUGUUCUAGAUACAUCCAUUUCUAUCCAUUUUCAGGACGUAAUUUGGGACAGGGGAGUACUUG
rfam:Triticum aestivum genome assembly, contig: Triticum_aestivum_CS42_TGACv1_scaffold_569289_7AS